rnacentral:rRNA from 1 species
CCUACGGGUGGCAGCAGUGGGGAAUAUUGCACAAUGGGGGGAACCCUGAUGCAGCAAUGCCGCGUGGGUGAAGAAGCACUCCGGUGCGUAAAGCCCUGUCAGCAGGGAAGAAAAUGACAGUACCUGACCAAGAAGCCCCGGCUAACUACGUGCCAGCAGCCGCGGUAAUACGUAGGGGGCAAGCGUUAUCCGGAUUUACUGGGUGUAAAGGGAGCGUAGACGGCGCUGCAAGUCCGGAGUGAAAGCCCAUGGCUUAACCAUGGUACUGCUCUGGAAACUGUGGAGCUUGAGUGCGGGAGGGGCAGGCGGAAUUCCUAGUGUAGCGGUGAAAUGCGUAGAUAUUAGGAGGAACACCGGCGGCGAAGGCGGCCUGCUGGACCGUAACUGACGUUGAGGCUCGAAAGCGUGGGGAGCAAACAGGAUUAGAUACCCUUGUAGUC